ACUCCUACGGGAGGCAGCAGUGGGGAAUAUUGCACAAUGGGCGCAAGCCUGAUGCAGCCAUGCCGCGUGUAUGAAGAAGGCCUUCGGGUUGUAAAGUACUUUCAGCGGGGAGGAAGGCGAUAAGGUUAAUAACCUUGUUGAUUGACGUUACCCGCAGAAGAAGCACCGGCUAACUCCGUGCCAGCAGCCGCGGUAAUACGGAGGGUGCAAGCGUUAAUCGGAAUUACUGGGCGUAAAGCGCACGCAGGCGGUCUGUCAAGUCGGAUGUGAAAUCCCCGGGCUCAACCUGGGAACUGCAUUCGAAACUGGCAGGCUAGAGUCUUGUAGAGGGGGGUAGAAUUCCAGGUGUAGCGGUGAAAUGCGUAGAGAUCUGGAGGAAUACCGGUGGCGAAGGCGGCCCCCUGGACAAAGACUGACGCUCAGGUGCGAAAGCGUGGGGAGCAAACAGGAUUAGAAACCCUAGUAGUCCCAU
rnacentral:rRNA from 1 species